CCUAGUUUGAACAAGGUGGAUGUACUUAGCUGUUUGCAUGGUACAAAUUUCCGAAGUAACAAGUGUUUGCCGAGUAGCACUUCACAAACCAGAAUCUACCAAACACACGUACGCAGAACUUGAUCAGCACAGUCUUUGCUGAUGACUUUAUAUCUCGUCAGAAGGCACUGGAGUCGGAAAAGACUUCUGAUGAACUUACUGAGAUUUCUCUUGAUUCUUAAAGGAUCAACAGUGUCCACACAAGUCGAACCACUGUGCUUCAUGUACUUCAUGUGCUGCUGAGAGAAGACGCCUCAAGAUUCUUCAAAACAUGUGGGGGCUGAAGAUUCAGAAGAACCAAAUGUUGGAUAUUCACCAGUUGCCCUGUUAACAGUGGUCAGAGAAAUCUGAAAAGUAUGCUGUAAUUCAUUACAAUCUGGUCAGAAAUGUCAUUGUUCUUCAAAGUGAAGUCAUCACACACCUGCCCAGGCUUUUCAGAUUUCUUUUACAUUUGAACUGAUUUAUGAAUUGGAUCUGAGUUACCCAAAAGAGUUUUAGAGACGGCUUUAUAAGGUUUUAACGUUGACAGAUGUGCAACACUAAUGCAGCUGUAGACAAUUUAUUCAGUUACCGUCAAAAAUGUAUUUAUUUAUUUUUUUCAGUGUUGUGCCUCAUGUUUGGUCAAUAAUUGUACCUUGUCUUUUUAUAUUAAAUA